rnacentral:rRNA from 1 species
AUUGAACGCUAGCGGGAUGCCUUAUACAUGCAAGUCGAACGGAGUGGCGAACGGGCGAGUAAUGUAUCGGAACGUGCCCAGUAGCGGGGGAUAACUACGCGAAAGCGUAGCUAAUACCGCAUACCAUUGGAGCGGCUGAUAUCGGGUUGGUCGGUUGGUGGGGUAACGGCUCACCAGGGCGACGAUCCGUAGCUGGUUUGAGAGGACGACCAGCCACACUGGCACUGAACCACGGCCCAGACUCCUACGGGGGGCAGAAGUGGGGAAUGUUGGACAGUGGGGGAAACCCUGAACCGGCCAUCCCGCGUGGGCGAUGAAGGCCUUCGGGUUGUAAGGCACUUUUGGCAGGAAAGCGGUACCUGCAGAGUAAGCGCCGGCUAACUACGUGCCAGCAGCCGCGGUAAUAC